rnacentral:rRNA from 1 species
UACGUAGGGCGCAAGCGUUGUCCGGAAUUAUUGGGCGUAAAGAGCUCGUAGGCGGUCUGUCGCGUCUGCUGUGAAAACUCAGGGCUUAACCCUGAGCUUGCAGUGGGUACGGGCAGACUAGAGGUAGGUAGGGGAGAAUGGAAUUCCCGGUGUAGCGGUGAAAUGCGCAGAUAUCGGGAGGAACACCGGUGGCGAAGGCGGUUCUCUGGGCCUUACCUGACGCUGAGGAGCGAAAGCGUGGGGAGCGAACAGG